rnacentral:rRNA from 1 species
UACGUAGGGUGCGAGCGUUGUCCGGAAUUAUUGGGCGUAAAGAGCUCGUAGGCGGUUUGUCGCGUCUGCUGUGAAAACCCGAGGCUCAACCUCGGGCCUGCAGUGGGUACGGGCAGACUAGAGUGCGGUAGGGGAGAUUGGAAUUCCUGGUGUAGCGGUGGAAUGCGCAGAUAUCAGGAGGAACACCAAUAGCGAAGGCAGCUCGCUGGGACGUUACUGACACUGAGGCGCGAAAGCGUGGGGAGCGAACAGG